rnacentral:rRNA from 1 species
ACACGUAGGGGGCGAGCGUUGUCCGGAAUUACUGGGCGUAAAGGGCGUGUAGGCGGUUUGCCAAGUCAGGUGUGAAAUCUUAAGGCUCAACCUUAAGACUGCGCCUGAAACUGGCAGGCUUGAGGGCAGGAGAGGAGAGCGGAAUUCCCAGUGUAGCGGUGAAAUGCGUAGAUAUUGGGAGGAACACCAGUGGCGAAGGCGGCUCUCUGGACUGUACCUGACGCUGAGGCGCGAAAGCGUGGGGAGCAAACAGGAUUAGAUACCCUGGUAGUCCACGCCGUAAACUAUGGGUGCUAGGUGUUGGAGGUAUCGAACCCUCCAGUGCCGCAGCAAACGCAAUAAGCACCCCGCCUGGGGAGUACGGCCGCAAGGUUGAA